GCGUCUGUACCAAGAUUUGGGCUACCUUUGGCAGUCCACGAUACAAAGCGGCCAUCAUUUUUCGCACUUGCACUGUGUUUACGAUAUUGUUAAAAGCUCCUUAUUCGAUUUAUGCCGCGAAUAAGAUGGCGAUAUUAAAGAAUCAUUUGCAAUGUCCAGUCCAGAACUACUAUGAUUGCAAAUCAUUGCCCAAGAAAUAAAAAAAACAUGGAUUGCUUCAUUAUUUUAAACCAAGGCAAACACAGCCACGGAGGAGACACAGAGAUUCUUUAGAAAUCAGUGGGCUCCAGUGAAUACUGCAGUGUUCUUACAUGCAGAAGCUAUUGUUAGGGGUAACCAGGAAAUCAUAAAUUCUGUAUAGUUCACAAUAUGUUAAUACAUGAGCAGUAAUCCUUUCAGUAGCUAUUAUCAUGGCCACCACUUAGACCCAAAUAGCUUACUGGGUUUGUACAGGCAUUUGGCUUGGGGUGGGCCCACGGGCUGUGUCCCUCCCACUCAACCACCAAAAGGCAGUUUUUUUUUAAAUUUACUUUUCUUUCCAUAAUAUCUAUGACUGCACAUCCCCUCCACAGCUAAUCAGAUUGUUUGUUAUGGUUAUCAGACUUCACCUUUCCUUUUCUAGACAUGCAAUGCCUUCUAUUAAAUAAUUUCUUUUGUUUAAUAAAAUAAGAUU